UUAGUACAUAACAACAAUUUCGUUAACAAUAGCAACAUGAAAUUCGUAAUUUUUUCCUUUUUGAUUUGUAUAAUCGUAACUGUUAAUGGAAGUCAUAAAAAGACAAUGUGUCCCACGCCAUCUGACGACGAACCAGUAAUCAACUGUUUGUUGUGUCUUCAAGAUUGUCCGCAGAAUCAAACUUUAGUUAUUGACCCAUGUAAUUGUUGUUUUAACAAAUGUGUACCACAAACGUGUCCAUCCGACGUAUGUAGCAACUGUCCACUCGUAAACUGUAUAAGUGGCUCGAUAUUAGUUCCAAAUAGAUUUUGCGGUUGUUGCCCCAGCUGCGUUAUACCCAAACGUGGAGAUCCUUGCUACCCUACAACAUACGACUCCCUUCUCACAUGCGGGGAAAACCUUGUGUGCUCCAACGGCAUAUGCCAAACUCCAAUUUGAGAAAUAAAUUAAAUAUCAGAUUAAUUCAACUAGUAAACAAUUACUUUAUUCUAAUAAAAUGAACAUUUUA